ACCUGUUGUCUAUUCCAUUUGCACAACAGCAUGUGAAAUGUAUUGUCAAUCAGUGUUGCUUCUUAAGUGGACAGUUUGAUUUCACAGAAGUGUGAUUGACUUGGAGUUACAUUGUGUUGUUUAAGUGUUCCCUUUGUUUUUUUGAGCAGUGUAUAAAUAUAUAUACAUAUAUAAAAAAUACAGUAUAUACUAUAUACUACAUAAUAUAAUACAAGCAACACUUCCUCCUUAACCUUUUUCUUGAUAACCAGUAGUUUCCACAACUAAUUCAAACCUCUUCCACACAUCUGACUUCCCCUCCUGAGAAACCAGUCAACAUUCGCUCACUUCCAGUUUCUUUUUCACAUCCCCCCGCAUCCAUUCUGCCGUCACAUGUUACUGUGAUGGGAGUUAUAACCCUUUUACUGAUGUGAUUAUGACAGGCUGUAGGUCAGGUCCUAUUGGUCACAUGUUACUGUGAUGGGAGUUAUAACCCUUUUACUGAUGUGAUUAUGACAGGCUGUAGGUCAGGUCCUAUUGGUCACAUGUUACUGUGAUGGGAGUUAUAACCCUUUUACUGAUGUGAUUAUGACAGGCUGUAGGUCAGGUCCUAUUGGUCACAUGUUACUGUGAUGGGAGUUAUAACCCUUUUACUGAUGUGAUUAUGACAGGCUGUAGGUCAGGUCCUAUUGGUCACAUGUUACUGUGAUGGGAGUUAUAACCCUUUUACUGAUGUGAUUAUGACAGGCUGUAGGUCAGGUCCUAUUGGUCACAUGUUACUGUGAUGGGAGUUAUAACCCUUUUACUGAUGUGAUUAUGACAGGCUGUAGGUCAGGUCCUAUUGGUCACAUGUUACUGUGAUGGGAGUUAUAACCCUUUUACUGAUGUGAUUAUGACAGGCUGUAGGUCAGGUCCUAUUGGUCACAUGUUACUGUGAUGGGAGUUAUAACCCUUUUACUGAUGUGAUUAUGACAGGCUGUAGGUCAGGUCCUAUUGGUCACAUGUUACUGUGAUGGGAGUUAUAACCCUUUUACUGAUGUGAUUAUGACAGGCUGUAGGUCAGGUCCUAUUGGUCACAUGUUACUGUGAUGGGAGUUAUAACCCUUUUACUGAUGUGAUUAUGACAGGCUGUAGGUCAGGUCCUAUUGGUCACAUGUUACUGUGAUGGGAGUUAUAACCCUUUUACUGAUGUGAUUAUGACAGGCUGUAGGUCAGGUCCUAUUGGUCACAUGUUACUGUGAUGGGAGUUAUAACCCUUUUACUGAUGUGAUUAUGACAGGCUGUAGGUCAGGUCCUAUUGGUCACAUGUUACUGUGAUGGGAGUUAUAACCCUUUUACUGAUGUGAUUAUGACAGGCUGUAGGCCAGGUCCUAUUGGUCACAUGUUUCACAUAAAAGAGAGCAGGGGUUGAGGGGAAAGGGAAUGUUUUUUCCUAAACCAAUUAGGGAUUUCGGGUAACAGAACUUUUCAGUCAAACACUUUGUGUGCUGUGGUGCCUUUUGUCUGCGGUUAGGGAGGAGAGAGACAA